rnacentral:tRNA from 1 species
GGAGUGUAGCUCAGUGGUAAAGUGAUUGCCUAGCAUGUGCAAGAGCCCUAGGUUCAAUCCCCAGUACCG